AAGUAGUAUACUUUAAUUUUUCUUAAAACUAUAAUCGUAUAUAUAAUCUGGAAGGAGGACAUUAGGAGGUAUGAAGAUAAAUAAAGGAAAUAAAAAAUUAUACUGUUACUUAGAAAAUCUGUUUUCUAAAAUUGUCCCCAUAUAUAAAGUAAAGAAGAUCAUUGUCAAUGAAAUAACUCUCCCAGAGACCAAAUGACAUGGAUGUAAGCAACUAAUGGUCACUGUAUGGCCUACAACAAUGAGCAAAACAUAUACUUUACAAUUAACUAUGAAACAGAAAGUAGGCGACAUGAAAAAAUGUGAAACAAUUCAAACAAGAAAACCAACAGCUAGAUUUAUGAUGAAACAAUGAAAUAAUAACAAAUAUGUUGGACAACAACCAACUACUUGUCAUCCCUUGUUUGCUAAAGAAGACUGGUUGUUUGUAAAUUCAUGUCAACACAUCACUUUAAAACAAAGUAAAUCAAUUUUCUAUGCAUCAUCAGUGCAAUAACCAGUUACUGAUUCCUUUGCAAUAUUGUUCUGACAGAUAUUAGA
rnacentral:lncRNA from 1 species